AUUUCCUUUUUAUCAGUCUUCUGCCUAAAAGAAACCGAUCCCCACUCUCUAAAAUUCUCUCUCUAAAAAUUCCGGUGAGAUGGUCGCCGUAAGUUCGUUUUCCGGCGAAUAUCCCGGCGUUAUAGUUACCUGUGAUCGGAUCGAAACUUACUUCACUCCAGCAAUGGAAUAAUCACCACACUGGUUUUUAUCUCCGGCGACGCUAAUUUGCGACUGGCAGAAAUAAGCAGCUGGAUUUCCGGGUUGUCUUAUUUUGGUCUGGCUUUACUUUAGAGUCAAUAGGAAACUUGUUCUGCGCGAUGGAGGAGCUAUCGUUAGCUCACUUGUCUUGGUUUAAUCUUUCUCUCGACUGUAAAUGCGUAAAACAGACUCAUUUGAUGUAGGGAUAUGGUAAUGAGCUUCAUGUUUAAGUUGAAUCUGUUCUUUCUCUUCCAAGGGGUGUAUUGUAAUGGUUUUGAAUGGGUUCAUUUUUUGGGGUGUGUAUAAAUUUUAGUAUGAUGAUGAUAUAAGUCUAAUAGGUGACUUGUUACAGAGUUACUCGAUAUCUCUCGUAAGUAGAUAUCCUAUGAAAUUAAUCGAGGUCUCUCGUGAGAGGUAAGCAGACAUCCUAUGAAAUUAGUCGAGGUGAUAAGAUCUCAAGUUCCAAGAUUUGCAUAGACACAGAAAGAAGAGCUGUACAGUGUUGAUAUUUGUUAAAUUCAGUAAAGUCUGAAUUAUGCA